rnacentral:rRNA from 1 species
AACGAACGCUGGCGGCGCGUCUUAAGCAUGCAAGUCGGACGGCAAGGCGGGAGCUUGCUCCUGCCCUAGAGUGGCGGACUGGUGAGUAACACGUGGGUGACAUACCCUCUGGUUGGGGAUAGCCGGUAGAAAUACCGGAUAAUACCGAAUACGAACGCACAGGUUAGAGUGGUGCGAGGAAAGGAGCUACGGCUUCGCCGGAGGAUUGGCCCGCGUCCGAUUAGGUAGUUGGUGAGGUAACGGCCCACCAAGCCGACGAUCGGUAGCCGACCUGAGAGGGUAAUCGGCCACAUUGGGACUGAGACACGGCCCAAACUCCCUACGGGGAGGCAGCAGUGGGGAAUAUUGGGCAAUGGGGGAAACCCUGACCCAGCAACGCCGCGUGAAGGAAGAAGGCUUUCGGGGUUGUAAACUUCUUUUACCAGGGACGAAGACGUGACGGUACCUGGAGAAAAAGCCACGGCUAACUACGUG